rnacentral:rRNA from 1 species
UACAGAGGUCCCGAGCGUUGUUCGGAUUCACUGGGCGUAAAGGGUGCGUAGGUGGCGAGGUAAGUCGGAUGUGAAAGCUCGGAGCUCAACUCCGAAAUGGCAUUGGAAACUACCUUGCUCGAGGGUUGGAGGGGGACUGGAAUACUUGGUGUAGCAGUGAAAUGCGUAGAUAUCAAGUGGAACACCAGUGGCGAAGGCGGGUCUCUGGGCCGAUACUGACGCUGAGGAGCGAAAGCGUGGGGAGCAAACAGG